rnacentral:SRP_RNA from 1 species
UCGCGCUGAACUCCCCCAGGGCAGGAAUGCAGCAAGGGUAGGUGUGCUCUGGCGGGUGUGCGGAGGGUCCCUUUUAU